CAACUUUGUUAUCUUUGGGGGCAUAGAUGGCUAUUCAAGAAAGGUAAGAGUUUUCACUGUCUGGGACCAAGAACUGCAAAAUGUUGCUGACCAUCCCUGUUUUAAGGAAGGAGGAUGUUUUUCUCAUUCAUAAGCCAGUUUAUUUUGUACAAUCUGGUGAUCCUUAGGUAUAAAUAUUUGUGUCAUCUACUCUUUUCCAUUGCUGAGGAGAAGCAGGCUUUGUAUGAAUUCACUUGAUAAAGUUGUUAUUCAAAAUUUCCGGUUGACCUAUAACAUUUCUUUCAAAGUGUUCAUCUAUCCUAUUCAGUGAGCUCUGACUUAAUUUCUCUUAUCAUAAGACUUGUCUGAUCUGUCACAUGAUCCUGUUAUGUUUAAUAAUUCUGUAGUGAGCUUUCUUGCUGUUGCACAUGUCAUUUGGGCAUUGAUUGUUUUGGCCCUUAGAAAACGUUGUCAGCUGACCUAUGUCACGAGAAAAACUGAUUCAGCAUAGUACUAAUGUAUUGUUCAAUCUUAACUUGUAGAUUAUGUACCUGAAAGUAGCUGACAACAACCGGUCUGACACCCACUUGGACUUCUUCAAUGAAGCUGUGAACAAGCAUGGGUUUCCUCUGAGAGUGAGAGGAGAUCAUGGAGGAGAAAAUGUUGGAGUAGCGGAAUUAAUGUUCUCAGUUCGUGGCACUGACAGUAACAGCUUCAUUGCCGGGAAAAGCGUGCACAAUCAACGCAUUGAACACCUCUGGCGUGAUGUCUUCAUGAGUGUUACAGGUGUUUAUUAUAACAUCCUGCACUCUCUUGAGGAUCAACACCGGCUUGACAUCAGCAGCAUCCUGCACAUUUUCUGCUGCCACUACGUUUUUCUGCCACGCAUCCAGGCUAGCCUGGAUGUCUUCAGUGAGGCGUGGGACAACCAUUCCAUCAGGACAGAGCAAAACCUGACACCAAAUCAGUUGUGGCAUGUGGGCCAGUCCCUGAAUCCUGUUGUUGAUCCUGAGGUAAAUUAUGUUUUUUUUUUUUUUUUCAAAUGUCUUGACAAUCUUUUGUUGAUCCUUAAUCAGUAAAAAAGUCAAACAUUCUAAAAUGUAUGUUCUGAUCAGCGUUAACCAUAAGCGCACCCCCCUUCUUGGAUUUAAACAGCCUUGGCUUUGUGCAAUAAACCAAAGGGUUCUUUCUACCACAACUGUACAGUACCUUAGGACAUGUGUUUGUGAUGUAUUGGAGUAUAUGAUAUGGGCCAGUAGUGCCCAGGUA